UACGGGGGGGGCAAGCGUUGUUCGGAAUUACUGGGCGUAAAGGGCUCGUAGGCGGCCAACUAAGUCAGACGUGAAAUCCCUCGGCUUAACCGGGGAACUGCGUCUGAUACUGGGUGGCUUGAGUUUGGGAGAGGGAUGCGGAAUUCCAGGUGUAGCGGUGAAAUGCGUAGAUAUCUGGAGGAACACCGGUGGCGAAGGCGGCAUCCUGGACCGACACUGACGCUGAGGCGCGAAAGCUAGGGUAGCAAACGGG
rnacentral:rRNA from 1 species